rnacentral:lncRNA from 1 species
AAAAAAAUCCCGUCUCAAUCUGAGAGUGUGUCUGUGUGGCUAACAUUCUGAAGUUUUUGUACUGUCUAUCUCUGCAGAGCUUACAUGUUCUUGAGAGAAGACAGUACAUGGAACCUCUCAAGGACUUCUUAGACUUGAGUUCCAAUCACAGGGUCACCCUUGUGUUGUUUUUGACAACAUGUAAUCUUAUAUGUCUCUCCAGAGCUUACACGUGUUAACAUAUAAUCCUGUAUGCCUCUCCAGAGCUAACAUGUGUUAACAUAUUCACACAAUUAAUAAAGGUAUGAAUCUGGUGAUUAUUUAUUUGUACAGUCUAUUUGCUACAUCAUCAUUAUUGGUAAUGUGAUCAAGCCACGGGGAGAGGGAAAGUCCUUUUGUGACGUAUGAGUAGGUGUUACAGCAUACACAGUGUUAUUUCAGACUGUUUCCUUCCUGUCCUUCUACAUAGCCUUGAACAGUGUGGAAGUGCUCUGGAGCUCUUACGACAAUAUCAGAAUAUUAAAAACAACUUGACAGCUUUGAUUCAGAAGGAAGAGGGCAUCAUCUCCCAGCAAGCUUCCUACAUGGGAAAGGACAACCUGAAGAAGAAGAUAGCCGAGGUGAGCCUUCCUUUCAAAAGAGCUGUCCGGUGUGGUGAUGUGGCUGAUGAGCUUAUAAAAGAAAUCAUCUUUGGAACUUGGUUUCAAAGAAUUUAGUGGUGACUAUUUUACCAAAUACUUAGGAAUUUAUCAGAUCUAUCACCAGAGUCAGAAAGAAAUCAGUUUCCAAGCUGGUACUGACUUACUUUGGUUUGGGACAUAGAACCUUAGCUAUAAGACUGUGGGUUGCAGCCUUGCCCCAGGGCUUUAACUGAAAGGGAAUGUGGGCCCUCGUGCAGGCCUGUGAGAUGAGAUGGUAGGGAAUCUCUCUCUGCUGCUUACAGACAAGGAGGACAUUACAAUGCCAGUAUUUCUUUCCUACAAUGAUGUGCCAGCCAAAUCCACCAGUUGGCUAGCUGUGUUGAUGGCUUCACUAGUCCCAGCUCUAUAUGCUAAGGAGAACAACAUCUUUUGGACACUAGAUGUCAUUAUUUUCUAUGAAUUUACAUGCUUAGACAGGAAUACAUCACACUAUUUACUCUAUGACUGUACAUUACAAUGAUGCCUUUCCCACUGGCUCAUGAGAUUUAAGCUACAGGGAUGUCAAACUGUCAUAAGCAUCUAUGACGAGGAGCCCUCUUGAUGCAUUUGAUUAUUAGUAAAUAGUUUCAUUAAAUUUCUUAUUCUUUUUAAAUCGAUUUUCAAUUAAUGAGUUAAUUUUGUGUGCAUGGGUGUUUUGCCUGCAUGUCUGUCUGUCACUUGUAUACCUAGUGCCUAUGAAGCAGUGGGUCUCACCCUGUGAGUCACUACCCCCUGUGGGGGAGGGGCUGGGGGCAGAUUGAACAGUCCUUUAUCAGGGCUCACCUAAGACCACCAGAAAACACAGAUAUUCACAUUGUGAUUCAUAGCAGUAGCAAAAUUACAGUUAUGAAGUAGCAACAAAAGUGAUUUUAGAGUUGGGGAUCGUCACAACAUGAGGAACUGUACUAAAUGCUUACAGCAUUAAGAAGGUUGAAAACCACUGCCGUAGAGGCUAGAAGAGGGCAUUAGAUCCCGUGGACCUAGAGUUACAAGCAGUUGUGAGUCCCCAUGUGGGUGCUGGGACUUGAACCAAGGUCCUGAUAGCUGAGCCAUCUCUCCAACACCCUAAACUUCCUAUUUCUUGAGAGUAACCCAAUAGAAGUAUCAUCAACCAGAUUAGCUUUUUAAAUUUUUGUUUUAUUUUAAAAGUGUACAGAUGUUUUUAUUUCAUGUGUGUGGAUGUUUUGUCUGUAUGAAUAUGUGUGUGCCACAUGCAUGCCUGGUGCCCACCAAGGUCAGAAGGCACCGGCUCCCUGGAACUGAAUGGUUGUGAGCCAUCAUGUGCAUGCUGGGAACUGAACCCCAGUCCUCUGCAGAAGCAGUCUAUGCUCUGAACCACUGAGCCAUUUCUCUAUCUCCAAUCAACCAGAUUCUUAUGGGAAACUUAGUCUUAGAACCAUUAACCCCUGUGCUUCAGUGACACCAAGACUGUCAGUCAUGGCUCUUGUCUGAGACCCAUUUUCGCAGAGCUGACUGACUAUGCUAAAGCAACCUGCUGUGUGACAUUAGUUGUACGAUGGUGACUGUGUGGCUGAUUUCAUAUCAAACUUAAUUGAAGGAGGCCACCAAGAUCAUGAAGCAGGCCAUUACCUGGCAUUACAGAUAGUAUGUGGUCAUGAAGCAGGCCAUUAGCUGGCAUUACAGAUAGUAUGUGGUCAUGAAGCAGACCAUUAGCUGGCAUUACAGAUGGUUUUCCUAGUUCUAUCCAGUAGCUCUGAGAUUCACUGGUCUUGAGACCUAGACGGAGUCUGUCCUAAUUUCCAAUGGUUCCCUUAGGUCUUAGAGGUAGCUAGCCAGCAAGCAACUCCAAGGGAUAAGAUCUCCCUUUGUCAGUCAGCAGAGUCUCACAAGGACGGUCACUUCCUUCUGGGUAAGGCUCAGACUUGAACUUGCCAAUCCUCAUGCCUCAGGCUCCCGAAUGCUGGCAUUUAAACACGGACUACUAUGCCCGGUUUUUAAUUUCCAGAUUUAAGCUUCUUAGAUUGAGAUAAAUCUUCAUUCACAUGUAGUCACAUGUAGUCACAUGUCAUAAUGAAGUGCCCCGUCACGCCCUUUACUCAGUUUCUCCAGUGAUAAAAUCGCCAGGACAAUCAUGAGUUCAAGCCCAACCUGAAGUAUAUAAUGAGACUGUCCAAAAGUAACCGAGUGUGGCAUGAAGGUUGAGCAUGGUAUGCAUGGGACUUUGGGUUUGACUCCAGUACCAAACCCCUGAAACAAGAAUUUAAAAAUAGAUACAGGUUUCAUAAUGCAGGGCAGGAGGAAAACUGAGUAAAGAUUAUCAAUAAAGUAAUUGCAUUCUAACAAUUUUCCAUUGGGAAAGCAGAACAGUUACCGUAGCGUUGUGAUCUCUUUUGUUUGUUUUACAUUUAUUUACCUAGAGAGAGAGAGGACACGGAUGUCACAGAGCAUGCGCGUAGGAUAACUUGUGGAAGGGCAGUCAUUUGUCCUCUCCAUGGAGUCCUGGAGAUUAAGCCCAAGGCUGUGAGGCCUGGCACCAAUGACCCUUACUCCACUAACCCAUUCUGCCGGCCCUUACGGUCAUUUCUGGGGGGAGGUUGAAUAAUAAAAAAUAGAAUUGUUCUCCCAGUUGCCUCUCUCUAUAUAUGUUUUGAAUAUAUAUCUUUUGCUUUUUUUUUCUUUACAGAUUGAAACUGUCAAAGAAGAAUUCAGCGACCAUUUAGAAGUUGUAGACAAGAUAAAUCAGAUUUGUAAAAACCUACAAUAUCAUCUGAAUAAAAUGAAAACCUUUGAAGACCCCCCCUUUGAAAAAGAGGCUAAUGCUAUUGUGGACAGAUGGCUUGAUGUAUGUGGCCAGUUAAUUAACUAAAAAUUAUGUUUCAUUACAAAUUGAUAUUUAGAGAGAAUAUCUUUAGUGUUCUUAUGAUACUGAAAUUUUAAGCUGUUAUUCUUUAUAAUAAAUAAUAUAUUUUACUUUUUUGUAAAAAAUGUGGUAUAAUAACUUAGGAAUUAAUUACAUCUCAAAGUUAGACGUUACUAAGAAAUGGGACCUUAGUCUUCCAGAUUUUGUGUUUGUGCGGUGUGUAUGUGUGUGUGUGUGUGUGCUUGCUUGAGCUUCAGUGUGUGUGUAUGUGCCAGGCAUGGUAAUGUACACCUGUAAUUCCAGCACUUGGGAAAUAGUAAUAUAAAGAUAAUGAAUUGAAGGCCAGUCUGAGCUUCAUGAGAGCCUGUCUCAAAAAAAUAAAAAUAACCAGGCAAGGAUGUAUGCUGUUAAUACAAGCACUUGUGGUCAAAAGGCAUGUUGAUCUCUGUGAGUUCCAGGCCAGCUUGGUCUACUUAGAGUUUCAGGUCAGCCAAGACUUCAUAGUGAGUCUUUGUCUC